GACGAACGCUGGCGGCGUGCUUAACACAUGCAAGUCGAACGGUAAGGCCCUUCGGGGUACACGAGUGGCAAACGGGUGAGUAACACGUGGGUGAUCUGCCCUGCACUUCGGGAUAAGCCUGGGAAACUGGGUCUAAUACCGGAUAGGACCAUGCGCUUUACGGUGGGUGGUGGAAAGCUUUUGCGGUGUGGGAUGGGCCCGCGGCCUAUCAGCUUGUUGGUGGGGUAAUGGCCUACCAAGGCGACGACGGGUAGCAGGGCUGAGAGGGUGACCGGCGACACGGGGACUGGGAUACGGCUCAGACUCCUACGGGAGGCAGCAGUGGGAAAUAUUGCACAAUGGGCGCAGGCCUGAUGCAUCGACGCCGCGUGAGGGAUGACGGCCUUCGGGUUGUAGACCUCGUUCGCCAGGGACGAAGCGCAAGUGACGAUACCUGGAGAAGAAGGACCGGCCAACUACGUGCCAGCCGCCGCAGUAA
rnacentral:rRNA from 1 species